UACGGGGGGGGCAAGCGUUGUUCGGAAUUACUGGGCGUAAAGGGCUCGUAGGCGGCCAACUAAGUCAGACGUGAAAUCCCUCGGCUUAACCGGGGAACUGCGUCUGAUACUGGAUGGCUUGAGUUCGGGAGAGGGAUGCGGAAUUCCAGGUGUAGUGGUGGAAUGCGUAGAUAUCGGGAGGAACACCAGUGGCGAAGGCGGUUGCCUGGAGCUUUGCUGACGCUGAGGCGCGAAAGCGUGGGGAGCGAUCCGG
rnacentral:rRNA from 1 species